rnacentral:rRNA from 1 species
UGCGUAGGCGGAUAAAUAAGUCAGUGGUGAAAUCUUUCGGCUCAACCGGGAAACUGCCAUUGAUACUGUUUAUCUUGAGUUCGGCAGAGGUAGGCGGAAUGUGUAAUGUAGCGGUGAAAUGCUUAGAUAUUACACAGAACACCAAUUGCGUAGGCAGCUUACUAUGCCGACACUGACGCUGAGGCACGAAAGCGUGGGGAGCGAACAGGAUUAGAUACCCUGGUAGUCC